rnacentral:misc_RNA from 1 species
UCUCCGUAGGUGAACCUGCGGAGGGAUCAUUACAAGUGACCCCGGUCUUACCACCGGGAUGUUCAUAACCCUUUGUUGUCCGACUCUGUUGCCUCCGGGGCGACCCUGCCCUCGGGCGGGGGCUCCGGGUGGACACUUCAAACUCUUGCGUAACUUUGCAGUCUGAGUAAACUUAAUUAAUAAAUUAAAACUUUUAACAACGGAUCUCUUGGUUCUG